GAUAAUAGCUAAAUAUUUGACUUGAACUAUAGACCGAUUUAAUCUAAUCCUAACCUAGAUAUCAUACUUCAGUCCAACCCAACUCGAAUGAUCUGUGAGGUCUAAAAUUAUUUCCAUAUACUCAAUCAGACCUAUUGUGAUCAACGAAUGGUUUCGGUCCAGGUCAAAAUCAAGACCUAAGAAUGAAAUUGGGUUAAAUUGAGGUCAACCAUGUCCGGGUCUGAUCCAACCCAUUUGCAGCCACAGAUUUACUC
rnacentral:lncRNA from 1 species